AGUUUGUUAUAACCUUUUUCUACAAAGCAAAAAUCACAUCUAUCAACAAAUAUGAGCACUCCAAUCAAUAAUAGAGCCCUCAUGAGGUUACUAUACACUUUCGGCGGCUUUGGAUCGCUGGUAACAGGAUGGAUUUUAUGGAUACUAUAUGAUUCGAUAAGCUUAUAUGCGAAACCCACCACUCAAGCAACAUCUCAAAUGUCGAACAGAGUACCAUAUGACAUCGAGUAUUAUUUGCAGCUUGCCAGUGACGCUUCACUUAUACUAUGGGUUUUCAUUUUCACACUUCGAGUUAGCGAACUCAAGAUGCAUGGCUUCAGAAUCAACAUACGGGUAGUACAAAAGACUGUCGAUCUCCCUCGGAGGCCUCUCGACGCUACAUCUUUUGGUUCCACUGCAUAAAUAACUUGGUUUAUUUUGCAUGUGGAUAGAAGUCGGCAUUUAUUUGAGCGUAUGGGAUGUUGUUAGCUUCAUAUAUGAUCCUGAAGUCAUCUAUGAAUAUCCUGCAUCCCUCCAAUAUGAGCAUAUGCUACUUCCUAAUCAAUCAAGUUUGAUCUAAAUAAGGUUUGUAUGUAUCAAGAUACACAACUUGCUUUUAUAUUUGUUCCACCGGCGAGAUGGAUAUUUAUACGAAAUGGUUCAUUACUCUGCAUACCUUACUAUCUU
rnacentral:lncRNA from 1 species